rnacentral:tRNA from 1 species
GCCUGGCUGGCUCAGUUGGUAGAGCACGAGACUCUUGAUUUCAGUGUCUUGAGUUUGAGCCGCAUGUUGGGUG